rnacentral:rRNA from 1 species
CAAUAGCGUAUAUUAAAGUUGUUGCGGUUAAAAAGCUCGUAGUUGGAUUUCUGCCGAGGACGACCGGUCCGCCCUCCGGGUGAGUAUCUGGCUCGGCCUGGGCAUCUUCUUGGAGAACGUAGCUGCACUUGGCUGUGUGGUGCGGUAUUCAGGACUUUUACUUUGAGGAAAUUAGAGUGUUUCAAGCAGGCACACGCCUUGAAUACAUUAGCAUGGAAUAAUAAGAUAGGACCUCGGUUCUAUUUUGUUGGUUUCUAGAUCUGAGGUAAUGAUUAAUAGGGAUAGUUGGGGGCAUUCGUAUUUAACUGUCAGAGGUGAAAUUCUUGGAUUUGUUAAAGACGGACUACCGCGAAAGCAUUUGCCAAGGAUGUUUUCAUUGA